AAAAAUAUCGAUCUCCGAGCCCGGUUACCUAAAGCAGUCGCCACGGUGCCAGGGCCGACAGGGUGUAUGGGGAAACCGGUACGCCUCCCGUGCGGAAAGGAGAUGGUGUUACGAUGAC
rnacentral:ncRNA from 2 species